rnacentral:rRNA from 1 species
GACGAACGCUGGCGGCGUGCUUAAUACAUGCAAGUCGAACGGACAGGCCCUGCUCUUGUGGGGUGCUCGAGUGGCGAACGGGUGAGUAACACGUGAGUAACCUGCCCUUGACUUUGGGAUAACUUCUGGAAACUGGGGCUAAUACAGGAUAGGAGAUCUUGCUGCACGGUGGGGGUUGGAAAGUUUCGGCGGUUGGGGAUCGUCUCGCGGCUUCUGAGCUAGUUGGUGGGGUAGUGGCGUACCAAGGCUAUGACGGGUAGCCGGCCUGGGAGGGGGGCCGGCCACAAGAGUACUGAGAGACGGACCAGUAUCCUACGUGCGGCAGCAGUGGAGAGUAUGGCGCAGUAGGCGGGAGCCAGUGGCAGAAGCGCCGGGUGCGGGAUAACGGCCUACGGGUGGUAAACCGCUGUGGCCUGUGACGAGGCGUGAGUGACGGUAAUGGGUAAAGAAGCACCGGCUAACUACGUG